GCUUGAACCCGGGGCGGGGAGCCAGGCGGAGGGGUUGGGCUGUCCUGGGGCUGCAGCGGCCCACGAGCCAGCACCCUCUGUGGCCUCCUCUCCCACAGCUUCCUCUGCAGAGGACUGCAUAAGCUAUGUGGUGUCCCUGGCUGUGGCUGGGCUGCUGCUGCUGCUGCUGCUGCUCCUGAGCCUCGUCUGGAAGCCACGCUGCCUCUCCAGGCCAGGGUCCCAGUGCUCGGGCACCGAGCCGCCGUCUGCAGAUGCACCACAGGAAGAGCUGUGCUAUGCCCAGCUGGAUUUCCAACGAGGGAUCGGGGCAGGAACGGGCUGCGCACAGACCAGAGCAGCUCCGCGGAGGUUUCAGUGACUGGCUGACCACCGUCCGGCCGCUGGACGGAAGAGGCAGAGAGCCGGGCAGGAGGCCAAGCACAGGAUCCGGGGUGCCAAGCAGCGCCUGGGCCCCGCAUCCCCUGUGCCGCCCUGCAGUAAACCUGGGCUGCUUGCGCUGACGCCUGGUGCUCCCCUCGAUGAGAGGCGCCCUGUGUUCAUCCCCAGCCUUUCGGGCCUGCCUUGCGACGCUUCCGACUCUGAGGUCUCACGAGGAUGGUCCACAAAGGGCUCGCCCGGCCCCUGAUCACACGCAGCUGCAGAGAAUUCACUGCCAUUGCCACAAACGCGGCUUCCGGUCUAGCUGGGCCUUUGGCGCAGGACCGGGAACGGAGGGGAGGAAUAACCUUGAUGCCGACUGCAACCGCUUACGCCUUGCUUUUCAAGAGGUUCUGGAGACCUCUAGCUACAUUCUGAGCACAACAGAAUGACCCACACUUAAUUCAAAGCAUGACAGGCGAUUCGACAUAUACAUUCCAAAAAGCAUGGGAAGUCCAGCAAAGGAGAAGAAUCUCGCCUGACCGAGAAGGAGCUGCCAAGGGAGGGCUUCCCAGCUCUGGGUGGCUCCGGACCAGGGAUCCCGCCUGUCUCAACCCACUGGGCAACCAGGCAUGUGGGCAUGCAGAGAAGGGCCUCUCCACCACCUCGUAGGAUGGGGGCAGGAUGACCUGGGAGCCCACCAGCCAUCCGGCAGGCUGGAGAAGGGCUGUAAGGAGAGGCAGGACUGGUCUAUCACCCCCCUGAACGGACGCUUCAUUCCCCCCACACGCCUCCUUCCAGGUGUGAUGUCUUUAGUUUGCCAGCCUGUGGGAAAGGACUGUGUCGUUUCACUGAUUGCGCGUAAAAUGCCCUGGGAGCUUGCGGACUGGAGUGAGGAGAAUUAACAUAAAUACCAGUAAACAUGGAAGUGGUCUUUUAGUGUUUCUGGACGGGGCGUGAAAGGGCUUAUCGGUAUGACCCAGUACUUUGAAUAUUGGAAACGGGCCAUUCGCCAAACGACGAUGCUCACCCAGCCGUCUAACUGUCGCUGUGUCCUGGACUGACAGUAUUUUCCCUCAAU